GAUGAAGAACGUAGCAAAAUGCGAUAAGUAAUGUGAAUCGCAGAAUUCAGUGAAUCAUCGAAUCUUUGAACGCACAUUGCGCCCGCUGGUAUUCCGGCGGGCAUGCCUGUUCGAGCGUCAUUUCAACCCUCAAGCCCCCGGGUUUGGUGUUGGGGAUCGGCUCUGCCCUUCUGGGCGGUGCCGCCCCCGAAAUACAUUGGCGGUCUCGCUGCAGCCUCCAUUGCGUAGUAGCUAACACCUCGCAACUGGAACGCGGCGCGGCCAUGCCGUAAAACCCCAACUUCUGAAUGUUGACCUCGGAUCAGGUAGGAAUACCCGCUGAACUUAAGCAUAUCAAUAAGCGGAGGA
rnacentral:misc_RNA from 1 species